rnacentral:rRNA from 1 species
UACGGAGGGGACUAGCGUUGUUCGGAAUUACUGGGCGUAAAGCGCACGUAGGCGGAUUUGUAAGUCAGGGGUGAAAUCCCGGGGCUCAACCUCGGAACUGCCUUUGAUACUGCAAAUCUCGAGUCCGGAAGAGGUGAGUGGAAUUCCUGGUGUAGCGGUGAAAUGCGUAGAUAUCAGGAGGAACACCGGUGGCGAAGGCGGCUCUCUGGACGGAUACUGACGCUGAGGCGCGAAAGCGUGGGGAUCAAACAGG